GAUGAACGCUGGCGGCGUGCCUAAUACAUGCAAGUCGAGCGAACAGAUGAGGAGCUUGCUCCUCUGACGUUAGCGGCGGACGGGUGAGUAACACGUGGAUAACCUACCUAUAAGACUGGGAUAACUUCGGGAAACCGGAGCUAAUACCGGAUAAUAUAUUGAACCGCAUGGUUCAAUAGUGAAACACGGUUUUGCUGUCCCUUAUAGAUGGAUCCGCGCCGCAUUAGCUAGUUGGUAAGGUAACGGCUUACCAAGGCAACGAUGCGUAGCCGACCUGAGAGGGUGAUCGGCCACACUGGAACUGAGACACGGUCCAGACUCCUACGGGAGGCAGCAGUAGGGAAUCUUCCGCAAUGGGCGAAAGCCUGACGGAGCAACGCCGCGUGAGUGAUGAAGGUCUUCGGAUCGUAAAACUCUGUUAUUAGGGAAGAACAAAUGUGUAAGUAACUAUGCACGUCUUGACGGUACCUAAUCAGAAAGCCACGGCUAACUACGUG
rnacentral:rRNA from 1 species